GCCAGGCGUGGUGGCACACACCUAUAAUCCCAGUGACUCAAGAGGCUGAGGCAGGUGGAUUGCAAGUUUGAGGUUAACCUCAGUAACUUGGUGAGAACCUGUCUCAA
rnacentral:sRNA from 1 species